UACGUAGGGUGCGAGCGUUGUCCGGAAUUAUUGGGCGUAAAGAGCUCGUAGGCGGUUUGUUGCGUCGGCCGUGAAAACCUGCAGCUUAACUGUGGGCCUGCGGCCGAUACGGGCAGACUUGAGUUCGGUAGGGGAGACUGGAAUUCCUGGUGUAGCGGUGAAAUGCGCAGAUAUCAGGAGGAACACCGGUGGCGAAGGCGGGUCUCUGGGCCGAUACUGACGCUGAGACGCGAAAGCGUGGGGAGCGAACAGG
rnacentral:rRNA from 1 species